rnacentral:rRNA from 1 species
CGCCUCUUGCAAUACACUAAGUAUAAGAGGUCCAGCCUGCCCAGUGACUACGGGUUCAACGGCCGCGGUAUUCUGACCGUGCAAAGGUAGCGCAAUCACUUGUCUCUUAAAUAGAGACCUGUAUGAAUGGCUAGACGAGGGCUUAACUGUCUCCCCCUUCCAGUCAGUGAAAUUGAUCUAUCCGUGCAGAAGCGGGUAUAAAUUUACAAGACGAGAAGACCCUUUGGAGCUUAAGGUACAAAAUUCAACCACGUCAAACAACUCCAUAAGAAGCAAAAACUUAGUGGCACAUGGACCUUUACCUUCGGUUGGGGCGACCAUGGAGGAAAAACGAGCCUCCCAGUGGACCGGGCCAUAACCCCUAAAGCCAAGAGAGACAUCUUUAGGCCGCAGAAUAUCUGACCAACAAUGAUCCGGCCAAUAAAGCCGAUCAACGAACCAAGUUACCCUAGGGAUAACAGCGCAAUCCUCUCCCAGAGUCCAUAUCUACGAGGGGGUUUACGACCUCGAUGUUGGAUCAGGACAUCCUAAUGGUGCAGCCGCUAUUAAGGGUUCGUUUGUUCAACGAUUAAAGUCCU